UCAAAGAGGCUUCUCAAGCAGGGUGGGCAGUGGGAGCUGCUAUGGAAUCAAUGGACAAACAUUGACAGGGACUGCUUUGAGAGACAGUACUCAGUUGAGUAUACUCUGUUAAGGGCUCAAACUUUAUAGUCAUUCCUUAAACACUGCCUGAUGGAAUCUUCAGGAUCAUAUUUUGAAGUAAACUAUAUUUUACAAUGUGAUAUAAAUCAAAUGAGUUUUUUUUUUUUUUUAAAUUAGGAAUUUCCAUAAGUACAAAGCCAUUUUAAGGUGUACAUUUUAGAGACUAGCUAUUAUUCAGUGGUCUGUGCAUUUGUGUAAACCAUAAAGAUCUUUCCAGAGGAAGCAAGUCUGUUAUACCAGGAUAUGAAAACGCCCCAGCCCCAGGCUUGAGUAGCCUAGAUCACAUGAAGCUGGCUUCCUCUGAGGAGUCUAGGACCUCAGAUACAGGUGGGAGCACACAGUCACCCUUCUGGAAACAGCUAAGACUUGCAGCUCAGGCCUGUGACCUUGCUGAUGACAAAGGAAGAGGUCAGGGUUGACUAGAGCUCCAGAAAGAAUGCAAGUGUGUCUGGAAGGCAGGAAGAAAGUUACUGCAAUACUUUAUCCUCAGGGUGGAACGAGAGUCUGGGAAAGCUGUACCCACUUCCCCAUUCCUCCCAGGUCCCAGCUGUGGUAUAAGGAGAGUUGGCCCAAUCUGGGAGCUAAGGGACCUGAGACAUCCAUCUACUGCAUCAGUGCACUCAGAAAUGAGGCUUUUGGCAGUUAUUCAUGAGACAUCAGCCCCUCACAUAAAACAUGCCUCCAGUUUGGUUAAACUAGGAAGCACUAUAUAACAUUUUAAAAUCAGUUACAUGUCACUGAUAAAAGACAAUAUUACCCUGACGUUACUUUUCUUGAGGCAACGUGAAACCCAUUGUCUACAGAAGAUCCAAAAAUUAGCCAGAUCUGGUGUGCAGCUGUAGUCCCAACUGCUUAGGAGGCUGAGGUGGGAAGACUACUUGAGCCAAGGAGGUAGAGGUUGGAGUGAGCCCAGAUCAUGCCACUUGCACUCCAGCCUGGGCAACAGAGUGAGGCCCUGUCUCAAAAAAAAAAAAAAGAAUUUAUGAAAGUUUGGAGAACCAGGAAUAAGACUGGGUGGGAAGUAGGAAUGACAGGUACUUUUAACAAUACAGCUGGGGUGUUGAUGAUGUGAAUGAACCCCAAUCUUACUGUAGUCAUUUGCUCAAGAUUCGAAGUCAUGAAGGAGUAGAAUGGACCAAACUUAGGUACUAAGAGUCCCCCGCCCAGCAGUGAAAACAGUAUAUAGUUCCUUUGACUUUAAUAUGGGGAGACAGGUUCCUGGAUUGACAAUCUCAUCAAAAGUAGACACAUUUUUUUUUUAUUUUUUUCUCAGACCUCUCAGGGAUGAAUAUAUACGAUUUCUGAGCAAGCAACCUGAGUACCUUUAGGAAGGGAAAAGGAAUGCUGAACAUCCCUAAACAACAUGUUUAUUGCAUAUUUGGUAAGACUUACUAUACCCUCUCCCGGAAGACAGAAGAUACCCUGCCCUUAGAAGACAAAGAGACUGUAAAGCUAUGCCUUCUAAAUCUUAAGCCACUCUUUAGGUAGUCCCUUCGUAGUCCAAACAUCUCAAGAACCCUCAAUUUGUACCAUUUGCCUUUUAUUUUCCAUUUAUUUAAUACCACAAAUUCACUUUAUUAUUAUGAAGCCAGUAUCUACAUCUUCUCACAGAUUCUCCUAAGAAAUGCAGAACUGCUUGCCAGCCUCAAAACGUGCUGUGACAUUUCCCUAACCUACAGGUCUAGAAAUCCUGUGCCAAAUACGGUUAAUUUGUUUGCUGAGAAGGAUGUAGAACUGCACCCCUCAUAACACUGAUGGGAAAACAGUCUGGAACUUUCUUAAAACAUUCUGGUAAAUGGGGCCCCUGCCAGCUAGAAAGUGUGGCUAUAAUCCCUGGCUUUUUUCCUUUUUUAAACUUUUUCUCUCUCAGUCCUGACCUAAAGAUGACCCUAGUCAGGCUGGGCACGGUGGCUCACGCCUGUAAUCCCAACACUUUGGGGAGGCCAAGGCGGGCGGAUCACUUGAGGUCAGGAGUUCGAGACCAGCCUGACCAACGUGGAGAAACCCUGUCUCUACUAAAAACACAAAAUUAGCUGGGUGUGGUGACGCAUGCCUGUAAUUCCAGCUACUCGGGAGGCUGAGGCAGGAGAAUCGCUUCAACGCAGAAGGUGGAGGUUGCAGUGAGCCAAGAUUGCGCCAUUGCACUCCAGCCUGGGCAACAACAGCGAAACUCUGUCUCAAAAAAAAAAAAAAAAAAAAAACCCUGAGAGAAAACCUGUCUUUCCAGCCAGAGGAAGCAGGAAAAAAUGACCCUAUGGUCUGAAGAAUGUAGAACUAAUCCAUCUUUUUUUUUCCCCCUCUCUGCUUUCUGCCUGAGGGGCAUUCCUUUUGGCAAAAUGGAAAGUGGGCAGGUAAUCAUCAGAGAGAGAGCCCAUCUUUCUAAGCCAGAGGAUGAGGAAAAGGGGCUCCCUGGGUGCCAGGGAGUCUGGGGGGAAAUCCUGAAGCGCAAAGACCUGAAAAGAGGAUUCUCUUAUUCUGUACAUGAGCAGAAUUCUGUGCUCAGCCCAGAGCUGCAUAUACCAGAGGCAGAGCCCAAGCAACACAGCCACACUCUGAACUGACACUCGGAUCACCACUACCAAACAGAAGGCAACGCAGGACCUGCAGACUAAGGCUAACGAGGCUGACUGCCCCACAAAACAGAAAAAAAAGAAACAUUCUUCAGGGAAUUUUAGCAGAGCACAGAGUCUCGCAACAUAAAACACAGUCCUCACUUUGAACAGCAGUUCAGAACUGUAAAAAUGACCUUCCAACCUGAAACUGUGCCAUGUGCUGUUAAUAAUCAUUAAUGGUGUCUUCAUAUCUCCAAGUCCGUUCAACGUGAAGGUUUUUGCUGACGUUCUUUCCCUUGGGACAUCUUCAUCCUUUCCAUCACAACCGCAUUCUUCAUUUAUUGGAUGAAUUCACCUUCUCGGCAGCAGGGCCAGCAUCCCACAGUCUGUUUCUUCAGUGACCCCGUUUAUGUUUGAUUUCCAUUCACUUUCAGUGUUUUCGGUUUUGAGUUUCUUUGCUGCGCUUCUAUCUUUAUUUGUCCAUUUUCUCUUUUGAAUAUCCAUUUGUGUAAAAUGCCACGUGGGUUUAUCACUGGGAGGCAAGGAGGCCACACAAUCCACACUUCGCUGUCUGUGCAUGAACUGAACACAGACGCACAGUGACCAAUCACCCACAGGUUUUGGAAAGAAGAGACAUGAUUGGUCACUGAUCAUGAUGUACCUCUGUUAUUAUGUAGUGAUUUGUGGACUGGGGAGCUAGCAGAAAGUUUGAACUUCAUGCAGUUACAAUUAAUAUAUUCUGGUAACUCAAAUUUGAACCAUGUUGUCACAUGUUGUCAGAGGACUGGUGUUCACCAUAAUAACUAAAAUUUCAGAAUCAUGAAAUGUCACUUCUGAUCUAUUCUAUUCAUUAAAAGUCAGUCACUCAUUCUGGCUCACACUCAAGGGUAAGGGAAUUAGGCCCCAGCUUCUAAAGAGAGGAUCUCCAAUGACUUUGUGGACAUAUUUUCGGAUUCUUCAGGAAGUCCACAUUCCUGAAGAAUAUUGGCACUGCGUAUAGAAUUCUGGGUGGAUGAUUCUUUCCUAUGAGUGCUUUAAAGAUAUUGUUCCACUGCA